rnacentral:rRNA from 1 species
UACGUAGGGAGCGAGCGUUAUCCGGAUUUACUGGGUGUAAAGGGAGCGUAGACGGUGAUGCAAGUCAGAAGUGAAAGCCCGGGGCUCAACUCCGGGACUGCUUUUGAAACUGUGUUGCUAGAUUGCAGGAGAGGUAAGUGGAAUUCCUAGUGUAGCGGUGAAAUGCGUAGAUAUUAGGAGGAACACCAGUGGCGAAGGCGGCUUGCUGGACAGUAACUGACGUUGAGGCUCGAAAGCGUGGGGAGCAAACAGG